UGUCCUGUCUUACUGGGAUAGCCAUUUCACGUGGAGGAGGAUGAGGAAACCCAGAGAGGGCAAAUGACUCAGACUGAACCGGACUUAUCUUGUUUCGUCAAGUGUGCAGCCUUAGACAUUUCAUUAAGUGAAGGGCUUCUAUUUCCGCUGCAUUAUGUGUUUGUUUUUUUUUUUUUGUUGUUUUGCUUUAAGA